UUACAUCCUUUUCCUUUUCUUGAGAUGUUAUCAGUUGCUGUAUGAUAUUCUUACUUCUUGGGUGAACUACUCAGCAGAAUCAUGCAUUCAUGCUCAUGCUGUCUCCUUGAGCAAAAAUGAUUACCUGAUUUCUGGUGCAGCUAUAUGAAUAUAUAAUUAUGAAGGAAUGAUUUUAUUUUAUAUUUAUAAAUUUCGUUCACCUAUACUCUUUAUUGUUUUCAUAUUGCUACAUGCCUUAGCUGAGUUAUAUUACACAUUGAAUUACUUAUAGAUAAUUCCGCCCCCAACACAUAUAAAGAUUAUGCAAAUACCCUUCUUAUUUAUGACCACUGAAUUCUAUAAGGUUUUUUCUCACGUUAUUUGGAAGAAAAAAUGAUACUGAAAUGUUUAUAGCCACUUGUCACGGAUUAUAUUGGAAAGAUUUUUCACCCUUGAAGUCGACGGGUUGAGCCCCGGUGGAUAAGCCACUUUCAGUGGGAACUUGGAUGGGAGCAAUUGUGCAAACAAAAAUAUCAAGCAAAAAAAGAGUAUUGAGAGGAAAAGGAAACUAUGAAGCACUUUGCUCUAAUUCAUGGCAUGUGUCAUGGAGCUUGGUGCUGGUACGAGGAUGUCUUACUCCUCAAAUCAGCUGGCCGCCGUGUCACUCCACUGGAUCUUGGUGCCAGUGGAAUCAAGUCCAAGAAGAUUAGUGAGUGUUUAUCUCACAGCCUCUAUGCCAAAUCAUGAUUCUCCUCCUGGAACUGGAGUAGAAGAGGUACUAAUUAAUUAAGCUUUACAUUCUAUAAAUCUACUUUUUUUACGAAGAAAAUAGAAGUUUGAAGAUAAGAAAAAAAUUAUAAGUAUUAGAAUUUAAGUUUUAAAUUUAUUGAAUAUCAUUUUCUAAACAUAUUUAUAUGGAUCAAUUAAAUUAAGUUUUAGGUUCAAAUCUCUCUUUUUUUUCCUCGAAUUUGAACUUAAUACUUUUUAAAUUUAAGUUAUGGAUUCUAAUUAUGAUGAUAUCUUAUAUACAAGUUAAAACAUUUUAAAUUAGAAUUUAGACUUUAGAUUUGUUUAUUUAUUCAAUCAUCUUUAAAAGUUAUAUUUAACAAAUUUAAAAUUCAAACCACAACACUUUUAACCUUUACUUUUAUUUUUAGACUUUACUUAUUUUUUACAAAAAAAAAAAAAAGUGAGUAUGAAGUGUUGAGACUUUGUUCAUGUAAAAACAUAGUGAAUUGUGAACGAUUGAUGGAAAUGUAUUUUUUUUUUAAAGAAUAUCAAAUCAUAUUCUUUGGAAAAAUAAAUAAAUAAAAAAUACCAUAAGCCGUCGAUGAUGUGAAUGAGGACAUUUUCUUUUUUCUUUAUUUUUUAAAUUGAAUAUGCGUUCAAGGCUAGCAAUUUUCAUAACUAUAUGCAAAUGCAAGUUUCAAAACAUCUAAUUUUUGGUUGAAUAUUUAUGGAAGCUAGUACUUCAAAAGGGUUAUGGCAGAGCCCAUCAUGGAUUUCCAGCUAUCGUUUGAUGAUGGACCAGAAAAUCCACCAACUCAUGCCUUAUUUGGCCCAAAAUUCAUGGUGGCAAAGGUUUAUCAACUGUCCCUAAAGGGGUCAGUAACUCAGUAUCUCAUAAAAAUUCAAUUUCAUCUGCACCAAAUGGUUAAGAACACUAAUGUGGUUGUGCUGAUGUUGUUGGAAUGUAGGAUAUAGAAUUGGCAAAAACGGUGAUGAGACAAGGAAAGUGGUUUAUGAAAGAUUUGUCAAAUGAAUAUCUGCUAACAAAAGAGAAAUUUGGAUCGGUUCAUCGAGUUUUUAUAGUUUGCAAUGAUGAUUUGCUGAUAAAGGAAAGCUUGCAGCAAUGGUACAUUGAGCAUAGCCCAACAGGUGAUGUGAAGUUCAUAGCUGGUGCUGACCAUAUGCCCAUGUUCUCCAAGCCCAAGGAGGUCUGCAAAUGUCUCCAGGAGCACCUCCUUUUGUCCAAUAGCGACGGCAAGCCAUGCAAAAGUGACGAGGCUGAGUUAGAUUGUAGUUGUUGUAGUAGCAGAACUUUGUGUUCGAGGAAUCACACCUGGGGCACCUCAAAUUCCGGUUCUCCGAAUUUCCUGAAGCUGUAGAAUUAGUAGUUGUAGUUGUUGAAGAAGAAGGAGGUGAUGAUGGAGAAGAAGUAGGGGUUCCUUCCAAAAUGCUUCCACUGAUGGAGAUUUUCAUCUCCCCUCCAAUAUUUAAGCCUGCAGUACCUCCCAGGAGUUCUUGAAUCAUCUUUUAAAUUUCUUCUCUUUGUAGAUCUACAACAAUCCAAAAAACAAGAAAAGCAAAGAAGCUGAUUAUUUUUUAGUGGAUGAAAAGCUAAAGUAAGCUUUGUUGUGUAUUAACUUAUAUAUAAUCCAUGACCAUGUGUGUGACAGAGAUAGAAUGAAUGGAGGUGGGAAACAUGAACUUGCCUAUGUAAGUUCAGUUGAAUGGAUUGGGUUGGCUUUGGGUUUUCUUUUGCGGGUGCAAAAGAAUAGAGGAUAUAGGUUGGGAAUGCUUUAAUAUAACGACCUAUACAGUCAUUGAGAAAGAAGUUUUUUUCUCCAUUUCCUAGUCUACCCUUUUGAUUAUCAUGCUAUUCUUCACUUAUAAAAAAUAUAUAUAUAACUGUUUCCAUCUUGAAUUAAGUUUUUGAUGCACAUUCUUCCACCACAUUAUCUUCGGAUUUUUCAAAUUUAUGAGUCAUAGUAUUUUUCAUAUAAUUUAUUUUAAAUUUCUAAAUUUUCAAUUAACAAAAAUGUAUGAAAUUCAAAUAGUUAAACAUAUAAUGGAUUCAAGGAAAAAAAAAAGUCAUUCUCCAAGUUAUAUAGGCCACUGCCCCCACUAACUUUAAUUAGUUAACCACACUCAAAACUGAAUCCCUUUUUAUGAACCAAUUAAUCCUAUGAGUGUUUUUGGUAAUUAAUUUCUCUUAAUAGUUGGAGAUGGGCUCUUCUAGUAUAUAUACACUGCUGCACUGUAGUUAAUUAAAUAAUUAUAUCAAUUUUUUAUAAAAUAGAUCACAAUUUGAGAAUUGAAUUAGAUAUAUUGAAUAUUAUUUUUUAAAAAUAAUUGCAUGAAUUAAUUAAAAAAAUUUAAAUUCAAUUACACCAAUUUUCAAGCAUUUUAAAUGUUAAAAGUGGAGAAUAGACUGUGUGGGAGUACAUGGCUGUGGUUUUCAAAUGAGCAUUUGUCAAAAAUUUUUUUCCUUUUGCUUGGAAGACUAUGGUAUGGACAAUGGAAUCUUGGGUUGUAUUAAUUGUAUAUGUAUCUUUCAUGGCUUCAACUUUUCUCCUUUGGUUCAAUUGAUUAGUUCAUUUACCUCCAUAAUAAAAGGUUUUGAAUUCAUAUUGAUGAAAAAUUUUCUCCUGAGAAAAUGGUUUUUGUUUUUAUUUUUAUUUUUAUUUUUUAGAAAAUUGUUUUUCUUUUCUUUUCUUUUUCCUAAAAAAUGUAUUUGAUGAAUGAAAACAAAAAUUAUUUUUUAAAAAAUAAAAAAUAAGAAAAAUUAAGUAAUUAUGGAAAUAAUUAUUAUUAAUGACAUCUAAUUUUAAAUAUGUAAUAUAUAUUUAUUAAUUAAUAAUUUCCAAAAAUAUUUAAAUAUGGAUCAACUUCUUAACUUGUAAAACAUAAGAAAAAAAGUAAUGAGAAUUUCUUAGUUUCAUAAUUAAAAACAUUUUUUUAUUUUCAUAUUUGAAUCUAUUUUUAUUUUUGUUUUUUAAAAACUUAUUUUUAUUUUUCAUUACCAAAUAGUUCAUUCUUGUUUUUCAUUUUUCAAAAAAAUAAAAUAAAAAUGUCUCUAUUUUUUAAAACCAAUCACUAUUUAAGCUUUUGGGCAAAACCGAAUGAAAAAAUUAUACAUCUGCAUCUUAGAUUAAGAACAAAAAAAAUACUAUUUUUUAAAAAACUAUAAGAAUAUUUUGAUUAAAGGAAUCAAAAUCUUUAGCAAUUCUUCCAAAAGAACUACUAUUUUUAAAAUUGAAUAAAUUAAGAAAAAAAAAAGUAACAUAAUGAGCGAUGGGCCAUAUUGGGCCUCACAGCCGACCUUGUUGAUGUUGAGGCAUGCAGCAGGAGCGGCCCGUCAACGAGGCCAUCUUUUAUAGCCGCGAAAUAAAACAAAGACGGCACCGUUUUGAUAAUCAAGAACGAAAAUGGAUUAAAAUUCACUUAUGUAAGCCCUUUUGUUAUCCAAACCAGAUAAAAAAAAAAAGGAAAAAGAAAAGGUGGAAAAAAAAAAGAGAGAUUUUCAAGCUUAAACGAAGGAAGAAGCCAUCCUCCAAUUAGAAGAUCGAUUCACCCAAACCACUGUAAAGCCUCGAAAAGAAAAAUCUACGGUAGAAAUCUAGGGUUUGAUUGAUCCAAUUUUCUUCAAUUUUUUAUUUGAUUUUUCCUCUUCAACGAUCAUCAUGAACUGCGAAGUCUGCCAACUCAAAGAACUGGUUACCAAAAUUUGGUCUUAUACUAUUUAUUUCACAUAUUAACUAUAUUAUUUAUGCUUCUGAUUAAAAAAUUCGUUUACUUUGUGCAAAAUUUAUCAAAUUUCUAUUUAGGAGGUGGAGCACUUCGAAAUACGAGAGGUUUUGCGCUGUAAGUUCACUGUUUGAUUUCUGUUAGUUUUAUUUUUUUUAUAAUUAAUUUCAUUUAUUAGUUCGAAAUUAUUUUUUUAUGUUUUUUUUUUUUUUUUUGGUUUUAUUUGAUUUGAUGAUUACGAGAAAAUAAAGUUUGGGUUUUUCUUUAUUUUUUAAAGUUUAUUUUGAACUGAAAGUAAAGAGAUGAAAAUUUUGAUGAUGGCAGGCAUUUUACACACAAUAGUGUUUCAUAGAGCUUUGGGUCUAGUUCGGCCCAAAGAUGUUGAUUUGGAGCUCUUUGAGAUUACUUAUGUAAGUAAUUCAUGAUUUCUUUCCUUUUUUUUUUUUUGGAUGAUGUAAUUCCUGUUUCUAGUAUUACUUUUCCAAUCAAAAUUACUGCCUUUGUUUCCUGAUUUUCACCCGCAUUUGACAUGUAUCUGUUUUGCAUGUUCCCCACAUUUAUAUUUGUUAUAUGUAGGUGCAAUGUGGGGAUGUUGAACUUGAGAAGAAAAUAGAUGAGAAGAUUGAACAUUUUGUAAGUUGGGUAGAAAAACAUCCCAAUAAGAAAAGUCAGGUAUGUCUACUUCGCUUGUAGUUUUAGCCUUUUUCUUUUGAAUAUAGAAAUCAAUGCAUCUUAUUCAUCUUCAGGUUUUACUUUUGCUUGUUUUGUCCCUCUUGCUGUGUGACAUUUGGUAGUAGCCUUUUACAUUUUAGUGCGCAUCUCAUUUUGAAUGAGAUUUCUUUACAUGUCUUGCAGAUAUGCAUAUCCUUUUAUGAGGUGAAAAGCAAGCCGCCAUCUUGGUUCUCUAACAAACCCGAGCACCUAGUUUGGGAACAAUGGUAUGUCAAUUUGAAUGUUACUCAACACCCGAAACCACAUUCGGGCAAAUCUCAUCAUACCAAAGUGGUCGUUGACCCAGGAGGUACAACAAUGCUUAUGCCCUUAACUUUAAAAUCAUAAACUGUUUUAACUUUCUUCAAAACUAAUUGAUUUUCUUCUUUUUGUUUUUUUAAUUUGUUUGUGUUCAUUAUUAUAGAGAGUGCUUCUGAGGAGAGAGGUUCGCGCAGAGUAGCACUUGAAGUAUCUCUUCUAGAGGUCAUGUUUCAAAUAAUAAAGUUUGUUAAUGAGAAGAAGGACCAUGUUCCCCCCAUAUCUGAGGGUGUCAUCUAUUUUCCACAUGAAAUUACUGUACCAAGGUCAGUUCUCCCUUCUGUACAUUUUCAUUUUUUUUCAGGUUACUUUCAAAGGAAAUAUGGUAGUGGAAAGCUGCAACGUUAAUGUUCUGCUCUUUUCCAGCAAAACUUUGAUCUUGUUCUUGUGCAUAAAGAAUACUUUAACUGGCUCAAUAUAGAGGAGUACUUGAUUAAACUUGAAGUGGAAGUUAAGAAUUGAUGUCUUAGAAGUUUUUGAAAGAUAUGACUGGUCAAAAAAUGAAUGUUUAAAAGAUUCUAAUGAAUGAACCUAAAAAGCAGAUUCUAAUUCAUGUUAGGAAUAAAACGGCAGUGAGAUUUUUCUUGAAUCUAGUAAAGUUUACUUUCUUGCAUUAAAUAUAAUAUCCAUUUCUUCAUCUUUACUGAGUAUGUUAGAGCUUUCUGCUUGAUUGUGUAAAACUAUCAAAUGUUGAAAUAACCACUAGGUUUUAUCCCUUUUUUCCCUUUUAUUCACUACUAUUUGUAGUGUUUAUCCUCAGUUGAUGGGAUUAGAUUGCACAUACGAAUUCAUUUGAUUGGAACGAAGCUAGAAUAUGUAUUCUGUGAGAAGGCUGCCUUCCCACAAAAGAGGCAUUUCUGUGCUUUAGAAAAGUGCCUUGAUGAUGAGAUAAACUUCUUGAAACAGUCAUCUAAUAUUGGUUUUGUCUGUCUAGCUUCCAAAUUCUGAAUAAUCCUACCACUUGAUUCCUACUUGACAAUUCUCGCUCAGGAUGCUUAUAAGAUGUUUAUUUUGUCUUUUAAUGCAACCAGGAGAUGAUAUCUCUAAUCGAGUCAGAGAGGUUGUUUGUUUUUAUUUUUGAUGGAAUUGAAUGAUCUUAUAUUUAAGUGUUUUAAUCAGCUACCUAGGAAGAAAGAAAUUUAGAGAAAAUUGUUAUCAUGCUAAUUAGGAAGUUAGGUUUUAACUGAAAGUAGUUGGUUUUUGUUGAUGUUCUUAGUAUUCUGGUUUGAGAUAUUUGAACCAAAUGUGCAAAAUAUAGUUAGAGUCACAAAUUGACCAUGUCAAGCUAAGCUCAAUUGACUGCGCUGAUCCGUUGCUUUUGUUUUGAUGAAUUGUUGUUGCCAUUCUCAUCUCUGUUUGUUAGGAAAUUUCAAUGAAGAACAUGUUUAGAAUGGUGAGUUAAUAUUGUGCUGCCAUUACUCAGUUCAUCAGAUUCUGCUUUUGGAAUGGACAUGAUCAAGAGGAUGCUUCAGACUGGGCAUCCAACCAUGCUCAGCUGAUUAUCAGACUAGGCAAGCUAAUUCACUCCCUAAAUCUCUUUCGGGGUAAAACAGUUCCUCUACUUGCGAUAUACAUAAAUGCUCAAAUUAAACAUGUAGCAAAGUGCAGAACUGAUGAAAGCCAAUGAGGCAGGCAAGGUUUGAAUAUCUGAAGAUAUAAUAGCUAGGUGCAUAAUUGAAUCCAUUAUCUUGUAAAUAUUAUCUCAUUUACAUCCUUUUCCUUUUCUUGAGAUGUUAUCAGUUGCUGUAUGAUAUUCUUACUUCUUGGGUGAACUACUCAGCAGAAUCAUGCAUUCAUGCUCAUGCUGUCUCCUUGAGCAAAAAUGAUUACCUGAUUUCUGGUGCAGCUAUAUGAAUAUAUAAUUAUGAAGGAAUGAUUUUAUUUUAUAUUUAUAAAUUUCGUUCACCU
rnacentral:lncRNA from 1 species